GAUGAACGCUAGCGGCAGGCUUAACACAUGCAAGUCGAGGGGCAGCGCGAUGUAGCAAUACAUUGGCGGCGACCGGCGCACGGGUGCGUAACACGUAUGGAAUCUGCCCUUUACUGGGGGAUAGCCCGGAGAAAUCCGGAUUAAUACCCCAUAACAAUCGAGGUGGCAUCACCUUGAUUUGAAAGCUCCGGCGGUAAAGGAUGACCAUGCGCACGAUUAGCUAGUAGGUGAGGUAACGGCUCACCUAGGCUACGAUCGUUAGGGGGCCUGAGAGGGUUAUCCCCCACACUGGUACUGAGACACGGACCAGACUCCUACGGGAGGCAGCAGUGAGGAAUAUUGCGCAAUGGAGGCAACUCUGACGCAGCCAUGCCGCGUGCAGGAAGAAGGCGCUACGCGUUGUAAACUGCUUUUAACCGGGAGAAACCCCUUACGUGUGGAGGGUUGACGGUACCGGAGGAAUAGGCACCGGCUAACUUCGUGCCAGCAGCCGCGGUAAA
rnacentral:rRNA from 1 species